rnacentral:rRNA from 1 species
GACGAACGCUGGCGGCGUGCCUAAUACAUGCAAGUCGAACGAAGCUUUUUUAACUGGUGCUUGCACCGACUUAAACAACUGAGUGGCGAACGGGUGAGUAACACGUGGGUAACCUGCCCCAAAGCGGGGGAUAACAUUUGGAAACAGAUGCUAAUACCGCAUAACCACAGAAACCACAUGGUUUCUGUGUCAAAGAUGGUUUCGGCUAUCACUUUGGGAUGGACCCGCGGCGUAUUAGCUAGUUGGUAAGGUAAUGGCUUACCAAGGCAAUGAUACGUAGCCGAACUGAGAGGUUGAUCGGCCACAUUGGGACUGAGACACGGCCCAAACUCCUACGGGAGGCAGCAGUAGGGAAUCUUCCACAAUGGACGAACGUCUGAUGGAGCAACGCCGCGUGAGUAAAGAAGGUUUUCGGAUCGUAAAACUCUGUUGUCAGAGAAGAACGUGUGCGAGAGUAACUGUUCGUGCAGUGACGGUAUCUGGCCAGAAAGCCACGGCUAACUACGUGCCAGCAGCCGCGUAA